rnacentral:rRNA from 1 species
AUUGAACGCUGGCGGCAGGCCUAACACAUGCAAGUCGAGCGAGCGGCGGACGGGUGAGUAAUGUAUGGGGAUCUGCCCGAUAGAGGGGGCUAACUACUGGAAAAGGUGGAUACUACCGCAAACUAGCGGCUGCACCCAGCUGGGAUUAGCUAGUAGGUGGGGUAAAGGCUCACCUAGGCGACGAUCUCUAGCUGGUUUGAGAGGAUGAUCAGCCACACUGGGACUGAGACACGGCCCAGACUCCUACGGGAGGCAGCAGUGGGGAAUAUUGCACAAUGGGCGCAAGCCUGAUGCAGCCAUGCCGCGUGUAUGAAGAAGGCCUUAGGGUUGUAAAGUACUUUCAGCGGGGAGGCGUUACCCGCAGAAGAAGCACCGGCUAACUCCGUGCCAGCAGCCGCGGUAAUAC